UACGGAGGGGGCUAGCGUUGUUCGGAAUUACUGGGCGUAAAGGGUGCGUAGGCGGGUCUUUAAGUCAGGGGUGAAAUCCUGGAGCUCAACUCCAGAACUGCCUUUGAUACUGAGGGUCUUGAGUUCGGGAGAGGUGAGUGGAACUGCGAGUGUAGAGGUGAAAUUCGUAGAUAUUCGCAAGAACACCAGUGGCGAAGGCGGCUCACUGGCCCGAUACUGACGCUGAGGCACGAAAGCGUGGGGAGCAAACAGG
rnacentral:rRNA from 1 species